CAGUAGCCGCGGUAAUACGUAGGUGGCAAGCGUUGUCCGGAAUUAUUGGGCGUAAAGGGCUCGCAGGCGGUUUCUUAAGUCUGAUGUGAAAGCCCCCGGCUCAACCGGGGAGGGUCAUUGGAAACUGGGAAACUUGAGUGCCGAAGAGGAGAGUGGAAUUCCACGUGUAGCGGUGAAAUGCGUAGAGAUGUGGAGGAACACCAGUGGCGAAGGCGACUCUCUGGUCUGUAACUGACGCUGAGGAGCGAAAGCGUGGGGAGCGAACAGGAUUAGAUACCCCGGUAGUCCCUGUCUCUUAUAC
rnacentral:rRNA from 1 species